rnacentral:piRNA from 1 species
UACAUUGAUCCAAGAAUUGUUUGUUCGUC